UUGUAGGAAUUUUGUAAUGAUGACAGUUUAGAAAAAGUCUAAGAGUUCAGCAGGAGGAGACUGAUUAAAUAAGUAGUGGUACCUACGAAGCUUUUCUUAGGUAGGCACGAUAGCAGCUCACUGCAACCUCCGCCUCCCGGGUUCAAGCGAUUCUCCUGCCUCAGCCUCCCGAGUAGCUGGGAUUAUAGGGGCGUGCCACCACACCCAGGAAUUUUUUUUGGUAUUUUUAGUAGAGACGGGGUUUCACCCUGUUGGCCAGGAUGGUCUUGAUCUCUUGACCUCGUGAUCCGCCCACCUCGGCUUCCCAAAGUGCUGAGGAAAGGAGCAGAGAGACAG
rnacentral:lncRNA from 10 species